AUUGAACGCUGGCGGCAGGCCUAACACAUGCAAGUCGAACGGUAACAGGAAACAGCUUGCUGUUUCGCUGACGAGUGGCGGACGGGUGAGUAAUGUCUGGGAAACUGCCUGAUGGAGGGGGAUAACUACUGGAAACGGUAGCUAAUACCGCAUAACGUCGCAAGCCCAAAGAGGGGGACUUUCGGGCCUCUUGCCAUCGGAUGUGCCCAGAUGGGAUUAGCUAGUAGGUGGGGUAACGGCUCACCUAGGCGACGAUCCCUAGCUGGUCUGAGAGGAUGACCGGCCACACUGGAACUGGGACAGGGUCAAGACUCCUGCGGGAGGGAGCAGUGUGGAAUAGUGCACAAUGGGCGCAAGCCUGAUGCAGUCAUGCCGCGUGUAUGAAGAAGGCCUUCGGGUUGUAAAGUACUUUCAGCGGGGAGGAAGGGAGUAAAGUUAAUACCUUGACUCAUUGACGUUACCCGCAGAAGAAGCACCGGCUAACUCCGUG
rnacentral:rRNA from 1 species